GGAGUACGGCCGCAAGGCUUAUACUCAAAAGAAUUGACGGGGGCCCGCACAAGCAGCGGAGCAUGUUCUNUAAUUCGAUGCAACGCGAAGAACCUUACCUGGGCUUGACAUGGUGCUGCAAGCGCACGGAAACGUGUGACCUUCGAGGGUGCACCACAGAUGCUGCAUGGCUGUCGUCAGCUCGUGUCGUGAGAUGUUGGGUUAAGUCCCGCAACGAGCGCAACCCCCGUGGUGUGUUGCCAGCAUUGAGUUGGGGACUCACACCAGACUGCCGGUGACAAACCGGAGGAAGGUGGGGAUGACGUCAAGUCAUCAUGGCUCUUACGCCCAGGGCUAGAAACGUGCUACAAUGGCGCAUACAAUGGGUUGCAAGACCGCGAGGUGGAGCGAAUCUCAUCAAAGUGCGUCUAAGUUCGGAUCGCAGUCUGCAACUCGACUGCGUGAAGGCGGAGUUGCUAGUAAUCGCGGAUCAGCAUGC
rnacentral:rRNA from 1 species